CCGCAGCCCGACUUGAGCGGAAAUCCUUUUUUGCCAACCCAUAAGUUCUAUUUAUACGGAAAUCGUCUGCCAAAAAGAUUGGGAGCGGAAGGCGGAUUAAGC
rnacentral:sRNA from 1 species